GUGACUGUACUAUUUAGUGUCAUUGUUUUAUAGAUACCAUAGUGAGAAAGGAUUCAUUUCGCAACACCUACGGCUUCCACUAGAUGGCAACGAUCUUUAUAAAGUUGUUUGAAGCGUCUAUGAUAAACAGAGAGCAAAUUAGAAUCCAAGGAAGUUGACAUGUCAUCACUUCAUUUUUUGCGCCUGCGCAUAAAUCUGAGAAACGUGAGUUUUGUCUUCAUUGUUUAUCUCGACAUAGGAUAGGUUGUGUGAAAAUAUUACUGAUGUUUAACGUUAAAAAUGGACCAAAAGAUUAAUGCUAAACAACAUUUGACAUGUUUGAACGAACAUAAAUAGAUUAUUUACUAGGUUUUUUUUAGCUUUUCGGCGUGAUUUUACAGUCCCCCACCACGUUUUGUGGGAGCAUAAUGAACGCUAAGUACUUGGUGUUAUUUGGACAUAAAUUAUGAACUUUGUCAAAAGAAACCACAUUUGUUCCGGACCUGUGAUGCCUUCCGGACCUGGGAUGCCAGUCUUUUGAUGGAGAUAAUCAAAGGACAUCUGAAAAACAUCUGAUCUACAACCUGUUGGGCACUGAAACGUGCACUCAUGGCUUCAGCAAAGAGAGAACUGGGGGGACUGUCAUCUGCAGCACCUUUAUAGCCUCUGACUGCCUUCCCCAUUAGUAAACAAUUCUUUCAAGAAAUGUUUAUUUUGUCUGAAAUUGUUUUUAUUUAGUCUGUGAACUUGAGUUGUGUGGGGUCAUGGAGGGGAGAUGCUGCACGUGCACAAGAAAGUUCAAUCAGUAGCACACAUCUCAAUUUCUCAUUGUGUGUGUGUGUGUGUGUGUGUGUGUGUGGUGAGUACACUAUUUUGUAACUGCCGUGUCAAAAAUGACCCUAAGACAAUCUUUGUACCCUGGUUUUGUACAGCUUUCAUGGAAAUAUGAACAUGGGCGAUGUUUCACUUUUUCUAAUGUUGGGGUCACUCUAGGAAAAGUCAUCAAAUUUAUUUUGGAAAAAAUAUAAUUUAGGGGGUUUUCUCUGCUGUUAAACAUAGUGGCGGAUCAUUUUUGACCCUUAAGACAACACAAGGGUUAAGAUAAUUGUAUGUGUGGGUACAGAGAUGAGGUAGUCAUAAAAAAUCAUGUUAAACACUAUUAUUGUGGCCUCCAGAAGGGUGCAGCAGUCUAAGGCACUGCAUCGCAGUGCUAGCUGCGUCACUACAGAUCCCGGUUCGAUCUCAGGCUGUGUUGCAGCCGGCCUCGACCGGGAGACCCAUGAGGCGGCACACAAUUGGCCCAGCAUCACCUGGGUUAGGGGAGGGUUGGACGGCUGGGUUGUCCUUGUCCCAUCGCGCUCUAGCAACUCCUGUGGCGGGCUGGGCGCAGUGCAUGCUGACACGGUUGCCAGGUUUACGGUGUUUCCCCCGACACAUUGAUCGGCUGGCUUUUAAGUUAAGCGAGCAUUGUGUUAAGAAGCAGUGCAGCUUGGCGGGGUCGUGAUUCGCAGAACGCACGGCUCUCGACCUUCACCUCUCCCGAGUCCACAGGGAGUUACAGCGAUGGGACAAGACUGUAACUACCAAUUGGAUAUCAUGAAAUUGGGGAGAAAAAAAAUCUAAAUAAUUAUUAGAAAUGAAACACUAUGAUUGCACACAGUGUGAGUCCAUGCAACUUAUUAAGUACAUUUUUACUCCUGAAAUUAUUUAGGUUUGCCAUAACAAAGGGGUUGAAUACUUAGUGACUCAAGACAUUUCAGCUUUUAAUUUUGAAUUAAUAAAAAUUUCGAAAAGCAUAAUUCCACUUUGACGUUAUGGUGUAUUGUGUGUGAAUCUGAAUGAAUUUGAAUCUGUUUAAAAUUCAGGCUGUAACAACAAAAUGUGGAAAAGGUCAAGAGUUGUGAAUGCUCUCUAAAGGAAUUGUAUCGGUUGUCAUAUUGAGUUCAGUAGAAUGUCUGGAUGGAUUUCUUAAUGAUGACACGUGUAUUUAUUGUAUUUACAUAAAUGAGUUCAGUGUAG
rnacentral:lncRNA from 1 species